rnacentral:rRNA from 1 species
CCCUUAGAUGUUCUGGGCCGCACGCGCGCUACACUGACGAAGUCAGCGAGCAUGUCCUACGCCGACAGGUGCGGGGAAUCUUGUCAAACUUCGUCGUGAUGGGGAUUGAUUAUUGAAAUUCUUGAUCAUCAACGAGGAAUUCCUAGUAAGCGCAAGUCAGCAGCUUGCGUUGAUUACGUCCCUGCCCUUUGUACACACCGCCCGUCGCUACUACCGAUUGAAUGGUUUAGUGAGAUCUUCGGGUUGGCGCCACUGCGGCUCAGCAAUGGGCUCGGUGGAUGCCGAAAAGUUGAUCAAACUUGAUCAUUUAGAGGAAGUAAAAGUCGUAACA